GUCUUGAUAAAAAAUGUGUGAAGCUUUUGAGAAUUGUGGUUGCCCUCCAUUGAUGAAGCUCUUGUUUGCACCAUAAAUUGGUUUUGCUUCACACUGUCUUGAUCAAGAAUGUGUGAAGCUUUUGAGAAUUGUGGUUGCCUUCCAUUGAUGAAGCUCUUGUUGACACCAUAAAUUGGUUUUGCUUCACACUGUCUUGAUCAAGAGCGUGUGAAGCUUUCUACGAGUUGUAGUGUUUGUAUUGUUACAGAGGGGAAAUGUUUGAAACAGAUGCAAGAGGGUUGAGUAGCUUGAUCUUCGUAUGCCAUGCACUGAAGUUGUUGUUGGCUUGCAAUAAGACUUUGUUGGUGAACAUAACUCUUGUUGGGCAUAAGUGCUCCCCUAGUUGAGUUGUCAAGCUUAAGGGUUUUCGAUUAUUUGUGAAUGCUAGGAGUUCACAUGUACAAGUUGUACCACUCGUCUUCUGGUAAGUGGAAUGAAUGGUGAGUUGCUUUCAUCACUUAGUUGGUGGUACGAAGGUGAGUUCCUUCUUCCCUUGGUUGGUGGCAUGAAUGGCAAGUUGCCAAAUGAUAUUAGAGUACAGGUUGUACAUUUCAUCACCUGGUUGGUGGCAUGAAGGAGAGUACAGGUUGUACAUUUCAUCACCUGGUUGGUGGUAUGAAGAUGAGUUCCUUCUUCACCUGGUUGGUGGCAUAAGUGGCAAGUUGCCAAAUGAUAUUAGAGUAUGGGUUGUACAUUUCAUCACCUGGUUGGUGGCAUGAAGGAGAGUACGGGUUGUACAUUUCAUCACCUAAUUGGUGGCAUAAAUGGCAAGUUGCCAAAUGAUAUUAGAGUACGGGUUGUACAUUUCAUCACCUGGUUGGUGGCAUGAAGGAGAAUACGGAUUGUACAUUUCAUCACCUGGUUGGUGGCAUGAAUGGCAAGUUACCAAAUGAUAUUAGAGUAUGGGUUGUACAUUUCAUCACCUGGUUGGUGGCAUGAAGAAGAGUACAGGUUGUACAUUU
rnacentral:lncRNA from 1 species